CUCAUAACAAGUCUAACUGGCUCUGGAAAGCUGAAAGGGCUGCACUGGAACAACACAGAUGAGAUAUUCUACACAUUAAUCUACUUAUCUGGAAUCACUUUGCCUCUAAAGGCCAGAGAAAAAUCACAGCUUCCUUGUCGGAGGGGAAAAGGACAGGUGAUCUGGGGAAAACGCAGCUACACCUGGAGCAAGGUCUCUUCCCGGCUUGGCAAUCUCAGCUGUGCCGGCGCUACAGGACCCGAGCCGUCCCAAAAACCAAAGGGCAGGCACGGCAGCAAACGCCUGAGGAUGAGAAGAGGCAGUGCCUCAAAAUGAAACUGAGAUGGCCACAACCCAUUAUGUAUGAUACGGAUGAUAUGUGGAUAGUGCGUAAGAACUCAAGAGGCACCCACUGGAUGGUCCUCUAGAUCAGGGUUUUUCAAACUGCAGGUUAUGUGUUUACUGGGUUACAAACCAGACUCAUUUUCAAUAAAAAAGAAGAGAAUACAAAUCAUGAAAGUACAUUGUGU
rnacentral:lncRNA from 1 species